UGCCGGAUCGACUAAUGGUAGGUCACUUGCCUUUGAAGCAAGCAGUCUUGGUUCGAAUCCAAGUCCGGCAACCA
rnacentral:tRNA from 1 species